rnacentral:tRNA from 1 species
GUGGCUUUAUUAUAAUUGUUUUGAAAACAGUUUUUAAGAGUAUCUUUGAAGUUU